AUGCCUUUGCGAGGACUUUGCUGGCUUGUGUGCUGCAGACAAGGCUUCAGUUUGCUGGCUCGGGAUCAUGGGGAGAAAGAGGAGGAAGAGUCUUUCGAGUUACGCAAUCAGGACGAGCACACACACACUGGACGGGGACCUCAGCCAGUCCCCCAUGCCAAGUGGACUUACAACGUUCCCUAUUCUCUAUGCCAUCAUUGUAAAUGUGCAUGUGUUUGUACUAAACAUAGCAGCUCUAGUUGUAAAUUGUGGCGUUCUAGCUGUGAAGUGUCUUGCAGCUGACCUGGAUAGCAUUUCAUAGAUUUAGCGCCAAACUUGUCACGUGCACUUUAGAAUAGACUAAUAUUUCAAUAUUUAUCUAACAUCAGUCAUUCUUACAUUCAAGAAUUUAGAACUUUAGAACCUCUGUACCACUGUUCAGAAGCUUGGGUAUGAUAAGAUUUUGUAAAUGUUUUUGAAAUAAAUCACUUGUGCUCCACAAGGCUGCAUUUAUUUGAUCAAAAAUAAAGUAAUAACAGCAGCAUUGUGAAAUAUUACAAUUUAAAGAAAGUAUUUUAGAUUAUAUACAUUUUAAAAUGUAGUUUAUUCUUGUGUUGUCAAAGCUGAAUUUUCAGCAGUCAUUACUCCAGUCUUCAGUGUCACAUGAUCCCUCAGAAAUUAGUCUAAUAUGCUGAUUUGCUGCUCAAAAAACAUUUAAUAUUAUCAAUGUUAGAAAAAAAGAUUCUUGUGUUGUCAAAGCUGAAUUUUCAGCAGUCAUUACUCCAGUCUUCAGUGUCACAUGAUCCCUCAGAAAUUAGUCUAAUAUGCUGAUUUGCUGCUCAAAAAACAUUUAAUAUUAUCAAUGUUGAAAAAAAGUUGUGCUACUUAAUAUAUUUGUGGAAACUUUGAUACAUAUUUUUUUCAGGAUUCAUUGAUGAAUAUAAAGUUAAAAACAAUGACAUUUAUUUGAAAUAGGAAUUGCAACAUUGUAAAUGUCCUUACUGUCUCUUUUGAUCAAUUUCAUGCAUUCUUGGUGAAUAAAAAUAAUAUUUUUGUUAAAAAAAAUCUUACUGUCCUCAAACUUUUGAAUGGUAAGAUAUGUAUGUACUGUAUAUUAUAACCAUUUCAACAUUGAUCAGUACAUGGAAACUAGAAAUUUGUAUGCGUAUUAUGAUGACUGUUUUAAAGAAAAAGAAAAGCUAUGACAUACAAUAAGAAAUAACUACUGAUGUAAACCAAAUAAAAAAGAAUAUUUUCUUCUCACUCAAAUGGUUUUUUUUGGAAAGUGUUUGUGUAAGAAAAGAACCGUCUUCCUGACUCUUUAGCUUCAUGACCCUCAGGAGCCCCCAGCCCGGCACGGAACAUUCCUCUGAGGUUGUGCCAGAGCCCUGAAACAUGAUGCCACAGAACGGCACAGACUUAUACGCACACACAUAGAGGUGUGUGUCUGUGAAAGAGGUCAAGGUGAGGUGGGGCUAGAGUUACAGCUGAUGUGGGGGAGUCAGACUGACUCAGUUUACAGCCGGAUCGAUUCUGAUAAACCUCACAGAGUCACUGGACCAAAGGGCAGAAUCAGAGCCAAUGCAUACCAGCCAUUAACGGGAACCCACAGGCGAGCCGAGCGUGGCACCGCAGCCCGGGCCUGCCAGUGGGUGGGCUGUUAACAGGGGUCAGAUGGUCAUCUCAGUGGGUAGAAAUACAUAGUUGUGUAAAUGAGCCUCCUUGUAAUUUUCCUGGAAAUCAACUUUAACUAGAAUCCACUCAUAAACAGUAUUUAUUGCAAAUUGCAGCGUGCUCGCUGCCUGUAUGGCCAAACACUGCUUUUAUUGACUACAGGACCAUUCACAAGAAAAUUGCUUGCAAAACAGUAGGAGCCAACUAAUCCUUCAGGACACUUUUGUACUAUGUUUUUUUUUUUAGCCAUCCCAGGGGGUAUUUUUAAGGCUUUGCUCUAUGUGUGUUUUAGUUUAAGAGGCAACACAGUUCAAAGCAGGAAAUGUUUCCCUCUGAUGUUUGUUUCUCUUCGUCCCUUCCUCUUGAAUGUCCUUUAAGACAUAGUUCACCCAAAAGUCUUUUUAUUUUUAUUUUUUUUUAAAUCUGUUAAUUAAAUGGAGAAUGAAAUGAGGAUAUAUAUAUAUAUAUAUAUAUAUAUGAGGAUGACUGAUAUAUAUAUAUAUAUAUAUAUAUAUGAGGAUGACUGAAUUUUCAUUUUGGGGUGAACUAUCCCUUUAGUAUUCAGGCUCAAGUACAUGCAUGCCAGGUAGCACAGAGAGGAAACUAAAGCUGACGUAAGAUCUGUUCACAGGGAAGGACACUGUGCAUUUACUGUCCACUGGGUGUGAAUGGUCUGAGGGCUGGCUGUGGGACAGAGUUGGUCCAGAGGGGCUGGGUGGGGUAGAACUGGGUUGGUAUUGCAUGUAGACAGAUUGAGCACAAAAGCUCUCUAUGUCUUUUUCAGUUCUAAGAACAGCCCUAAUUUUGAAUGUUAUGGUCUGCAAGCAGCAGUCAAGUGCCCGGGACUGCUGAGUGUUUGUGUGUUUGAAUUAACUGCCAAGUACUACAGAAGAGGUACUGUUACCAAGUGCAUUUGUUCAUAAAGGUAAGUGUGUGUGUGUGUGUGUUUAUGACCUAGUGACUAAAUUACUGAAAAAAUGUUAGUCAAACUGUGAAACUAAAAUCCAAAAUUGCUUUAUAAAGAAACAAAAUAAUGUUCAAGUUGCAAUGAAAUGGAAACAGUAUUGGCAGAUAUUUUCAUCUGUAUUGUGACAUGCAUCUGCUAGGGUGUUCUGGGUUAUUAGUGCAUUGCUAUGUAGUUGCUAGGAUGUUGUGAGUUUCUAGGGUACUCUGCUGUGUGGUUGCUAGGGUGUUAUGAGUGUGUUUUUAGCACAUUGCUGUCCAGUACUAGAAUGUUUUGGGUAGUUUUUACUAUAUCAUGUUGCUAUACAGUGCUAGUGUGUGUUUUUUUUUACUCCAUUGAUACCAGGUGAAAAUUGUAAGUCCACUUAUAUGAAAUUGUAAGUCCAAUUAUAUGAAAUAGCACCUCUCUUCCUGAUAAGCUGUAUGGCAAGUCUAGUUUAAGACUUAAUGGUUAGUUCAAAUACCUAAGCUAAAACAUUACUUUGUAUCAUGUAGCAAGUAGGAAUUGUGGUCUGUUUUGUAUUGUUCCGCCUUAUAUCUGCAGAGCCCAUGGGGUUUUCUUUAACCAAGGGAGUCUUUUAGGAUCCAGUAAAUGACCUUAUGACUCACUGCAUAGACUAGGUAUUUAUACAGUUGUUUGACAAUUGCCAUACAAAUUACAUGACUUAACUCAUCAUUAGUUCACAAUUAUGAACGAUGAAACACCAUACAGUCGUCUAACUGCCAUUAUGACCAAUUGCUACUUUUUCUUUUGGUUAUAGCCAUGUUGAGCCACAUCAAAGGGUUUCCAGGGCAUUCGGGUUUCCCUUUCCUGGACCCCUGCUGCAGUCCAGAGCUCUUUUCUCGUUCUGUCUUCCCCUCUUUAAUAUGAGCUCUGAGAUGGGGAAGGGGAAGCCAGACCUGAGGAAUGUACUAAAGAAUCCGGAUAUCCCUCGAACCAUUAGCCUGCCACACUGUCAAUCAUCAGGCGUCAACGGCCAGAACAUCUCAGACAGCUAGUUUUUGAGGCCAUUGCUCAAACUAGUUGUGCAACUAUUUAGGACAGCAGUGGAAUUGAAUGUACAGUUACUUUAAAGGUUUUCACCCAAUACCAUAUGGUAUUAGAUUUUUUCGCAUAAUGCCAAACCAUAAUUAUUUAUAAUGAUUCAUAAUUAAAGACCAGCUGUUUCAUGACCAGCCUUUUUCCACCUGGAAUGUCAAGAAAUGGUGUCUUUUUGUUCAUUUAAUGUUUAAGGGAAAAACAUACACUAAAUCCACUAAAAUAGUGCAAAAAAUAUUAACUAAUGUGUAUAGAAAAUGUAACACAAAACACUCUGAUGUACUUUACAGAUGGCACAAAUGAGAAGAGACUAACUUUAUGUAAAAUAUGUGAUGUGUCGCACAAGGACUUCUGGUAAUGUCCUUUUACUCUUUCUGACAGUAAAUUAUUCAGUAAUUCAUAGUUUUUACCUGCACAAACCAUAUAUUUGAGAAGUUUACAAUAAUGUCACAUAGUGUGAUGCUAAACCAUUUACAGUUUUUCACCAUAUAUGGUAAUGUAACAUACAGUUAACCAAUUAACAAGCGUUUACUGUAUAAACUUUAUACAGUUGGUAUCAACAACUGAAAUUUUGGUACCAUGACAAUACAAAAAUGAAGAAACAAAUGGAACCAUAUGAUGUUUGUUGGAUAUAUUGAAACAAAAGAAGUGAAAGAGACUGAAUGUUCUCCAUGUACUGCGCAUCCUUCGAGAAUAUCUAGUGGAGUUUACUGGAAAGGAAGUGAAAGAUCAAUACCUGCCAGAUGCCCAUGUGUU
rnacentral:lncRNA from 1 species